rnacentral:rRNA from 1 species
UACGGGGGGAGCAAGCGUUGUUCGGAUUUACUGGGCGUAAAGGGCGCGUAGGCGGUAGCACAAGUCAGUUGUGAAAUCUCCGGGCUUAACUCGGAAAGGUCAACUGAUACUGUGCGACUAGAGUGCAGAAGGGGCAACUGGAAUUCUCGGUGUAGCGGUGAAAUGCGUAGAUAUCUGGAGGAACACCGGUGGCGAAGGCGGGUCAUCCU